rnacentral:rRNA from 1 species
UGGGGAAUUGUUCGCAAUGGGCGCAAGCCUGACGACGCAACGCCGCGUGGAGGAUGAAGGUCUUCGGAUUGUAAACUCCUGUUGAUCGGGACGAACGGGCCCCACCCGAAUACGGUGGGGCAGUGACGGUACCGAUUGAGGAAGCCACGGCUAACUCUGUGCCAGCAGCCGCGGUAAUACAGAGGUGGCAAGCGUUGUUCGGAAUUACUGGGCGUAAAGGGCGCGUAGGUGGCCUUUUGAGUCAGACGUGAAAUCCCCCGGCUUAACCUGGGAACUGCGUCUGAUACUGGAAGGCUCGAGUUCGGGAGAGGGAUGUGGAAUUCCAGGUGUAGCGGUGAAAUGCGUAGAUAUCUGGAGGAACACCGGUGGCGAAGGCGGCAUCCUGGACCGAAACUGACACUGAGGCGCGAAAGCCAGGGGAGCAAACGGG